UGGUAGAAGAAAGGACUCGAACCUUCGUCAAAAGGGCUACAACCUUCUGCCUACCCGCUCAGCCACUCUACC
rnacentral:tRNA from 1 species